rnacentral:lncRNA from 1 species
GGCAAAAAAGCAUUUGCUUCGAAAGCCCCAUCAAGAGGAAAAUCUUUCUACUGCCAGAGGGACUCUUCUGGGAAGCCUGAGUGGAGAGAGAGAAUGGGCAAGGGGUCAUCGAUGGACCGGAGAUGGGAUGGUAGGGACGGAAACUGCAGGGUCCGCAGAAGGAACUGCUCACCGAAAGCCAACAAGCUUGCCCUGUGGAAUCCCAGAAAGGCCCAGGAACUUCGGGACAUCACUGAAGGCAGAGUGAAGAGAGUCUGCCUUAUUUCAGGAAGAGAAGACAGAGAAAUGGAGGGGAGAAAACUAUUAAAAUAAGUAAUAAGAAAACUUUCCCCAGAAGUGCGGAAUCUGAAUUUCCAGUAUAAAAGGGUCCAUUGAGCGCCAAGAACAAUGAAGGAAAAAAGGUCCCACUCAGGCCUACGUAUCAUUGUGAAAUUUCAGAACUAGAGGGAUAAAGAAAAGAUCCUAAAAGCUUCCCGAGAGAUAAAAAAGAAGAUUUUUACAAAGGAUCAGCAAUCAGAAUUGCCUCAGACUGCUCAAUAAAAACAUCAGAAGCUAGAAGAAAAUAGAGCGAGGCAUCAAAAUCCUGAGGGAAAUGAUUCCCACCUAUAAUUUCAUAUUCUGCUCAAUUAUCAAUUGAGUAUUG